rnacentral:ncRNA from 1 species
UUAAUUUUACUUAAUAUAGAGAAACUUACUAGGUCUAGAUAAAAUAAGAAUUAAUAGAUUAAGAGCUCUUUCUUAAUUUUUUAGGUAGUAGUAUAUAGCUAUUCUUAAUUUAUAGAGUAACUUAUUUACUUAAUUAUAAUAAUAAGUAAGACUUUACUUUACUAAAUAGCUAGGCUAGCUUUAGCUAGUCGCUAGCUUCUUAGAGAAACUAUUAACUUAAGUUAAUAGAAGUUUAAAGUAAUAAUAGGUUAACCUAUAUAGGCC